rnacentral:rRNA from 1 species
GACGAACGCUGGCGGCGUGCUUAACACAUGCAAGUCGAACGGUAAGGCCCUUCGGGGUACACGAGUGGCGAACGGGUGAGUAACACGUGGGUGAUCUGCCCUGCACUUCGGGAUAAGCCUGGGAAACUGGGUCUAAUACCGGAUCGGACCCUGGACUGCAUGGUCUGGGGUGGAAAGCUUUUGCGGUGUGGGAUGGGCCCGCGGCCUAUCAGCUUGUUGGUGGGGUGAUGGCCUAUCAAGGCGACGACGGGUAGCCGGCCUGAGAGGGUGACCGGCCACACUGGGACUGAGAUACGGCCCAGACUCCUACGGGAGGCAGCAAUGGGGAAUAUUGCACAAUGGGCGCAAGCCUGAUGCAGCGACGCCGCGUGAGGGAUGACGGCCUUCGGGUUGUAAACCUCUUUCAGCAUCGACGAAGCGAAAGUGACGGUAGGUGCAGAAGAAGGACCGGCCAACUACGUGCCAGCCGCCGCCGUAA